rnacentral:lncRNA from 10 species
AGCCAGUACUGGUAACCAGCUGCAGUACUUUUUGUGUGGUGUGGAAGUGUUUGUUUUUUGCAAUAGAUUUUUGUUGCAGUUUAGGUUUGUAUUUUCUUUGUUUUGUAGUGCUUAUUAUGAAGGUUCGUAGGUUUAUGUCUGUAGGCCAGGCAGGUCAUUAAACUUAACAAAGAAUAAGUAAGUCGGGAGAGGGGAAUAGAAAUCUCCACAUACAUAUUCUUAAAAGCUGUAACACUCACCACAAAGAUCUGCUGAGUGAAGUCUGUGAGACGAACGCACCAAGUCUGGACGCUCUGUCAGGCUACAUUUUACGUUUUUGGGAGUGAGCAGGUGUUAUUCUGUUCCCCGGGUUGGUUUUGAAGUCAUGGCUCUCAAGUAAUUUUUGUGCUUCUCAAAAGUGCUGGAAUUGCAAAGAUCAACAUCAAAAGCUACAAACUGGAAACAGAGGAAGAUACUAGCCCCGUGUUUCUGAUUCAGUAUCACUGAAAUACUUUGGAACCAUAUAAAGGGCAAAGUACAUUCCACAUGUUGAAGGACAGUGCCUGGCCCUGUGGGGUGUCAUCCCCAAGCUGUAGGCAUAGUGGCAACCCAGGGGUUCAUCUCAACUCCCAUCAGAGUUCAAACAUUGAAUUAGUUGUGCAAUGGAAGGAGUAUUACCAGGACCCAGAUGCAGCCCAAGGAAAAAAGAAAACAAAAGGAGACACACACAGUAAGUGGUGUCUCAUUGUGAUUUGGAUUUGCAUUUCCCUAGUGAUUAGUGAUGGGAAACAUAUUUUCAUGUGUUAUUGGUCAUUUGUUUAUCUUCUUUGGAGAAAUAUUUAUUCAAGUCCUCUGCUCUCUUUUUUUUUUUUUUUUUUAGUCAGAGUCUCGCUGUAUUAGUCUGCUCUCACACUGCUCAUAAAGACAUACCUGAAGCUGGGUAAUUCAUAAAAGAAAGGUUUAAUUGACUCACAGUUCCACAUUGCUAGGGAGGCAAAGGAGGAGCAAAGUCACAUCUUAAAUGGCAGCAGGCAAGAAAGUGUGUGCAGGGGAACUUCCCUUUAUAAAACCAUCACAUCUUGUGAGAUAUCCACUAUCACAAGAACAGCACAGGAAAGACCUGCCUCUAUGAUUAAGUUACCUCCCACUGGUUCCCUCAUGACACAUGGGAAUUAUGGGAACUACAAUUUAAGAUGAGAUUUGGGUAGGGACACAGCCAAGCUAUAUCACUUGCUGUGUUGCCUACGCUGGUCUCCAACUCCUGGGCUCAAGUGAUCCUCCCACAUUGGCCUCCCAGUAGCUGGGACUACAACUAUUCCAUUGGUCUAUGUGUCUGUUUUUAUGCCAGUACCACACUGUUUUGAUUAUUGUUACCAUAUAUGACUGUCUAAAAAAUUUUAUGUAUGUAUAAAAAUUUUUAUGUAUACAUAAAAUUUAUACAUACAUAAAAUUUUUUUUGAGACAGUCUUGCUCUGUUGCCCAGGCUGGAGUGCAGUGGCACAAUCUAGGCUCAGCUCACUGCAACCUGCGCUUCCUGGCAAGCGAUUCUCGUCUUGUAAUAUAUUUUGAAAUCAGGAAGUGUGAUGCCUCCAGCUUUGUCCUUCUUUCUCAAGCUUAUUUUGGCUAUCCAGGGUCCCUUGAGAGUCCACAUAAAUUUUAGGAUAAAUUUUUAAUUGGAUUUUUUAAUAGGGAUUACAUUGUUUGCUUAAUGUAAUCAUAAUGCAUAUGAUUUUCUUAUGCCCCCAACAAAUAUGAAAUCAUAGUCAUAAUCAUUUGCUAAAUGAUUACAUUAAGAUUGUUUUGGGUAGUGUUGACAUUUUAACAAAACUAAGUCUUCCAAUCAUGAGCACAGAUGUCAUUCCAUUUAUUUGUGUCUUCUUUAAGUGCUUUCAGCAAUGUUUUAAAGUUUUAGCGUACAGUCUUUUGUCUUCUUGGUUAAGUUUAUUUCCAAGUAUUUUAUUCUUUUUGAUACUAUUGUAAAUGAAAUUGCUUUUGUAAUUCCCUGCAGCCUCUUUCAUGCUCUGAGCAGAACUGCAUUGCAUACAAUCAAUCACCUACACUCACAGGCAAGAAUGUACUACUAUUGUAAUAAUGUAAAUUUUUCUAAAAUCACAAAAUGGAAAAUGCAUCUUAUUUGCUUUUAACGUUUUAGCAGAUGAUGUGGUCAAGUAAAUAAAUAAAAGGAGAGAAAGAGAAGUUCUGUGUGUGUGUGUGUGUGUGUGUGUGUGUGUGUGUGUGUGUGUCUGUCUGUCUAAGAUCCUUUUGUUGUUUGCUUUGGCCUAGUUUCUUAUGCUUUGAGGAAAAGCUCAUUCUCAUUCAUGUGACUUGCUUUGGCUAAUAGGACACCAGAGCAUGAUGCAAGUGUGGCUUAAUCGGUGCUUGCACAUUGGGCUUGUUCUUUCCAAACCUGUUGCCCCGAUUCUGCAAGGCUAUCCUGCUGUAGAAGGAGGCCCUGGAGGACAAGACACCAUGUGGGGAAAACAGCCAUGGGGAGCAGAACCGAGGUAUCCCAGCUUAGCUCCCAACUGACAGCAGCCACAUGAGUGAGCAGAAAAACAACUUCCAAGGGUGAUUUAGCUACUGCUGCUGUGGAAUGUCAAAACUUUCAGCAAGGGAGCCCGAUGCAGAUCUGUUGAUAUGACACCAUUCCACAAGAAGACCAACUGAUGGCUUUGUGGCAAGUUGACUACACUGGGCUGUUUCUAUUCUGGGAAGACAGAGAUUUGUUCUAAGAGGAAUAGGCAUGUGUUGCAGGCAUAGGUUGACCUUUCCUGCCAUGGAGCCUCCUCUGGUACCACUAUUUGAAGGUUGAAGGAAUGUUGAUUCACCAGGAUUGAGUCAGACCAGCCAAGCCUAUGACCAUGAUGUCAACUGACUGUAUCACCUGUCACAUCAUCCAGAAGCUACAGACUUAUAAGGCAUUGGAAUAACUUGUAGAUGGCCCCGUUAAAGUACCAGCUUAGAGGCAACACUCCAUGAGAAUGAGACAUCAUCUCCAGGAUGGCACAUACACAUUGAAUCACACAGCAUUGAUAAGGAGAUGGCUCCCCAGUAGGAAGAAUAUAUUGGUCAUGAACCAAGGGAUGAAGCAGAAGUGUCUUGCUUCCUGUCCCUGCAGCCUCUCUUUCUGCAGUGCUAGAAAUCCUGGUCAAAAGGGGGCAUAAUUUUAUCAGGGGACACAGCAAAAGUCUCCACUACAUUGCAGCUAUGCCUGCUGCCUGGGGAUUUUGGGCUUCUUAUAAUUGGGACCAGCAAUAAAAGAGAAGAGUCACAGUCUUGGCAGGGCUAAUUGACCCUGAUCAGCAGGAGAAGAAAGGCUGUGGUUCCACUAUGAGGGUAGGGAAGACGUGUGGCACCACUGAUCCACUUUUGCAACCCAUGGUACUCCCGUGGCCAGUUGUGAUGACAGACAAGUGCAGGAACACUUUUGGGAAGGGCAUGGUGGCCAGAGUUCAGACCCCAUGGGAAUGAGGACCAGGGUCACACCACUGGAUAAGCCAGGAGGAAGAGAGGCCCACUGGAAGGCUGGAGGAGCUGCUCCCCAGAUGUAGAUGAAGUAGAUUUGAGCAGCACAGUGGUGGACCUAGUAGAGGCGGACAUCAAGAUCCUCUUCAAGGAAAGAUUAUCAAUAUAGUUUUCCCUGACCCAGGUGCCAUGUGUUUUCUGUCAUAUUCACGUAUGCUAAUACAUAAUUGUGCAAGUGGGGUAAUAUCUGGGACACUUCAUGGUUCAUAUCAAAACACAGAGUGAAGAGAACAUCCUCUGGGCCAUCUCAGAGUGUGAGUUUGGGGCGGGGGUGGCUCCUGGUUAACAUUUCUGUCCACUGCAGCAUUCCUUUUCCCUUUUGCUUUUAGAUUCUUCCCUUGACAUCACACCAGGAAAGUCUGACAACUUAACUUUAUUGGAUAUAGGCAACCGUUGAAUCCAAGUUUUGCCCACUGAAUCCAUCAAAUUGUUACAGCCAAUUCUAGAUGCCUGAGUGGACACAUGAAAUCCAGAUUCCCCAGUAAGCGCAUCCCCAUUAAUAAACUGACCAAAUGCAAUGUUAAUCUGUUCUAUAACCUUUAGAAUCCAUCCCAACAUAUAUUUUUUAGGUUCCUGCCAAGAUAUGUUAGCAAAAGCUUGCAAUUUUUUGAAAAAUGAAUUAUCUCUUCCUGGGACAUGUGUUGUACUUUUCUCUCUGAAAUAGGCUGAGCUCUGACUCCAUUAAAAGUCUGAAAGCAAUGAAGAGUGAAGGAGCGGAUAUUGGGGAGAAUAGGCAUCCUCUUGCAAGAUAACUGCCUCAAAGUCAUUAUAAGGUUUUCAAGCAAGAGAAAGCUAAUUUCCUUACACAUAUGAAGAAGCGUUGCUUCUCCUGGCAAGAAAUACACAGUGAAUCAGGGAUUCAAAAUUCUUAGCUUUAUCUAAGUUUACCCAGAUGUGUCUAUCCUUCCCAAUCAGUGCUCUUGGCAGGAGACUUGGCAAGUCUGCGAAGUCAACUUAUGUUAUAAUUCUGCAACCCACACAAGUUCUUAUUUUCAAUGAGGGUAACCUUGCAGCCACACAAAAUAGCAAAAUUUUUUAAGGAGUACCAUAGACACACUCUGGUUCUCUGUGUUCAGUGUUUUAAGCCUAUCUUUUUGUUCCCCUGUAAGCUCUUCAAUGUAGUCCAAAAUACACCAUCUGUGGUAGGCAGAAUUCUAAGAAGGUUCCAAAGAUUCUCACCCAUGGUGUAGAGAACUUGUAUAAUUUUCUCCCCUAAAGUGUAGGUGGAGCCCGUGAAUAGGAUGGGAUAUUAAUACCAUGAUUGUGUUAUAUUUUGAGACAAAAAAAAUUUUGUAGAUGUAAUUAAAGGUACUAAUCAGUUGACUAUGAGUUUAUCAAAAGGGAGAUCAUCCAGGUGGGCCUGACCUAAUCAUAUCAGCCCUCUAAAUCCUGGUCUAUGGGUCAGAGAAAGAGGAAGGCAGAGAUUUAAAGCAUGAGAGAAAUUCAAAGCAAACUAGAUUCUCCAUUGCUGUCUUUGAAGACAGGCAGCCAUGUGGCAAGGAAUGUGGGUAGCCGAUAGUGGCCGAUGACAGCUCCCAGCCCACACUUCAAGUUUAGCCUCGUAGGGCCCUGAGCAGGGGACACAACUAUACUGCAUUUACAAC